rnacentral:lncRNA from 10 species
CUCGGCCUCCCAAAGUGCCGGGAUUACAGGCGUGAGCCACCGCGCCCGGCCCACAGGCUGCAUUUUAAUAACACUCUCUGGUGAUUUGUACGCUUGUGUGUUGGAGACCUAUUAUAUUUGCCUAACUGUCGUUCUCUGCUUCAGGAAAUCUGUCAUUUAUCUGUUUCAGGAAAUGCUCUGACUCCAACACAUAAGGUUGGUUGCAUUUUCCCUGAUACAGAAGUGGGUGUAUAACUAAGUUAAGCUAUUUAGAGUAUGCUAUCCCUGUAAACAGAGUAAUUUGUCCAUUGCUGGGCAUGUGUAAGCAAGACCAAUCAGAGUCCAUUUUUUCAGAAAAAUAUGGGUGGUGGGAGAAAGGAAAUGCUCCUCUCUCUGGGAUUAUUAGCUGUAUGGAUAAUGCAAAUCCAAAAAUUGCUGUGGCCAUCUUUGCUGCAACAUAAAGGAAAGUUCUCUGAAGUGAUUCCAGAAAAGAGGAGGACAGAAGUCAGAGAUGGAGAGAGAUAGACCCUUGAUGACAUCAAAUGAGCCUCUGGAUCCAGCUCUGCCUGAAGUCAUCUGCCCCAUGAUUUUCAGUAAUGUGAAUCAACAACAUAUUCUGCUUUUCUAGCUAAUGCAGAGAACAGAGGAGAGAUGAGGCAAAAGGGAAUAUUAGACAGAUUCAAAGCUUGAAAAGGACUUGAUCCACUAUGAGGCCAUUAAUGAAGGAAUGCAGGCUGCCUGUAACAGUUGAAAAUCACCCCAGCCAACACCCAGCAAGGAAAUGGAGACCAUAGUCCUCUAACUGUAUGGAACUGAAUUCUGCCAACAAAGUGAAUAAGAUGGGAAGUGAAGACCCUCCCAGAGCCUCCAGAAAGGAAGAGAGCCAUUCAGACACCUUGAUUUCAGCCUUCUGAAACUUGGAGCAGAGAGCCGGCUGUGUCAACCUGAACCUGGGUUUUUAACCUACAAAACUGAGAAAUAAUGAAUAGUGAUUUUUUUUUUUAAAGAUGGAGUCUAGCUCCGUCACCCAGGCUGGAGUGCAGUGGCACGAAUAGUGAUUGUUUUAAGCCACUAAAUUUAUGGUAGUUUUGUUAGGGCAGCAAUAGAAAACUAAUACAUAUGUAAUAUAGCAUUUUAUAAACUAAAAUGUCAGGCAAAUAUGUGCUCUUAUAAUUUGAUAUUGCUAUCUAUUAGAGACAUUGGGUUAAAGAAUAUACUGAACCAAUGUUGUAUUUAUUAUAAGAAAGAUAAGGGUGGGAGAUGGAAAAAAUGAUGUUAAACUCAUGAAUUUAGUUUGCUUUGCAAAUGUUUAACUUUGAGGUUGCUUUUUUCCAGAUCCCUGGAGAUUUGGCCUUUCGGCAUACAGAGAGGUUUUAUUAAAGCUGAAGUCCCUUGUAAAAGCUUUUAAUAGCUUCCUUUAAAAAAAUCACCUAAACUCUCUGUUCUGUGCUAUUCCUCUAAAUGCAAGAAAGCACAAAGAUACUGAAGAAACACAGAGACAAAAUUAAAUCAGGGGCUCUCCUAGCUCCUCCAUUAUUCAAAGCACUUAGUGGACUAUAAAUGAUUUAGAAGUGAUACAACUAGACUUUUCAGAGUAAAUAGUUUUCAUUUUCCUGAUUGGUAAUCAGGAGAAAGAAGAUUCCAUAUUCCCAUCAGCAGAGAUUUAGAAUUAUCUUUUGCCAAAAAUGAAAGAGCUCUUUCUUCCUGUGUAGUCCUUUUAAAU